GUGGUGUUUGAAUAUAAAUCUUUGGUUAUCACUAGAAGGAUCACCAACAGGAGGAAGGAGAUCCUGAUUCCCCUAUAUAGAACUUUAGCUAUCACCAGAAGGAUCACCAACAGGAGGAAGGAGGUCCAGAUUCCCCUAUGUAGAACUUUAGCUAUCACCAGAAGGAUCACCAACAGGAGUAAGGAGGUCAUGAUUCCCCUAUAUAGA